UACAGAGGGGGCAAGCGUUGUUCGGAAUUACUGGGCGUAAAGGGCGCGUAGGCGGCCGCCUAAGUCAGACGUGAAAUCCCUCGGCUCAACCGGGGAACUGCGUCCGAUACUGGCGGGCUUGAAUUCGGGAGAGGGAUGUGGAAUUCCAGGUGUAGCGGUGAAAUGCGUAGAUAUCUGGAGGAACACCGGUGGCGAAGGCGGCAUCCUGGACCGACAUUGACGCUGAGGCGCGAAAGCCAGGGGAGCAAACGGG
rnacentral:rRNA from 1 species